CUAACACAUGCAAGUCGAGCGGCAGCACAAGGGAGUUUACUUCUGAGGUGGCGAGCGGCGGACGGGUGAGUAAUGCCUAGGGAUCUGCCCAGUCGAGGGGGAUAACAGUUGGAAACGACUGCUAAUACCGCAUACGCCCUACGGGGGAAAGGAGGGGACCUUCGGGCCUUCCGCGAUUGGAUGAACCUAGGUGGGAUUAGCUAGUUGGUGAGGUAAUGGCUCACCAAGGCGACGAUCCCUAGCUGUUCUGAGAGGAUGAUCAGCCACACUGGGACUGAGACACGGCCCAGACUCCUACGGGAGGCAGCAGUGGGGAAUAUUGCACAAUGGGGGAAACCCUGAUGCAGCCAUGCCGCGUGUGUGAAGAAGGCCUUCGGGUUGUAAAGCACUUUCAGUAGGGAGGAAAGGGUGUAGUUUAAUACGCUAUAUCUGUGACGUUACCUACAGAAGAAGGACCGGCUAACUCCGUGCCAGCAGCCGCGGUAAUACGGAGGGUCCGAGCGUUAAUCGGAAUUACUGGGCGUAAAGCGUGCGCAGGCGGUUUGUUAAGCGAGAUGUGAAAGCCCUGGGCUCAACCUAGGAAUAGCAUUUCGAACUGGCGAACUAGAGUCUUGUAGAGGGGGGUAGAAUUCCAGGUGUAGCGGUGAAAUGCGUAGAGAUCUGGAGGAAUACCGGUGGCGAAGGCGGCCCCCUGGACAAAGACUGACGCUCAUGCACGAAAGCGUGGG
rnacentral:rRNA from 1 species